rnacentral:rRNA from 1 species
CACCGGCGGCUCGAGUGGUAACCGUUAUUAUUGGGUCUAAAGGGUCUGUAGCCGGCCGGGUAAGUCUCUUGGGAAAUCUGGCUGCUUAACUGUCGGGCUUUCAGGAGAUACUGCUCGGCUCGAGGCCGGGAGAGGUGAGAGGUACUUCAGGGGUAGGGGUGAAAUCUUGUAAUCCUUGAAGGACCACCAGUGGCGAAGGCGUCUCACCGGAACGGACCUGACGGCAAGGGACGAAAGCUAGGGGCACGAA